AACGAACGCUGGCGGCAUGCCUAACACAUGCAAGUCGAACGAGACCUUCGGGUCUAGUGGCGCACGGGUGCGUAACGCGUGGGAACCUGCCCUUAGGUUCGGAAUAACUCCCCGAAAGGGGUGCUAAUACCGGAUAAUGUCUUCGGACCAAAGAUUUAUCGCCUUUGGAUGGGCCCGCGUUGGAUUAGCUAGUUGGUAGGGUAAAAGCCUACCAAGGCGACGAUCCAUAGCUGGUCUGAGAGGAUGAUCAGCCACACUGGGACUGAGACACGGCCCAGACUCCUACGGGAGGCAGCAGGGGGGAAUAUGGGACAAUGGGCGAAAGCCUAAUCCAGCAAUGCCGGGGGAGUGAUGAAGGCCUUAGGGUGGUAAAGCUUUUUUCCCCGGGAUGAUAAUGACAGUACCGGGGAAAUAAGCCCCGGCAAACCCCGU
rnacentral:rRNA from 1 species